GACGAACGCUGGCGGCGUGCCUAACACAUGCAAGUCGAGCGAUGAAACUUCCUUCGGGGAGUGGAUUAGCGGCGGACGGGUGAGUAACACGUGGGUAACCUGCCUCAAAGAGGGGGGAUAGCCUCCCGAAAGGGAGAUUAAUACCGCAUAACAUUAUUUUAUGGCAUCAUAAAAUAAUCAAAGGAGCAAUCCGCUUUUGAGAUGGACCCGCGGCGCAUUAGCUAGUUGGUGAGGUAAGGGCUCACCAAGGCGACGAUGCGUAGCCGACCUGAGAGGGUGAUCGGCCACAUUGGAACUGAGACACGGUCCAGACUCCUACGGGAGGCAGCAGUGGGGAAUAUUGCGCAAUGGGGGAAACCCUGACGCAGCAACGCCGCGUGAGUGAUGAAGGUUUUCGGAUCGUAAAACUCUGUCUUUAGGGACGAUAAUGACGGUACCUAAGGAGGAAGCCACGGCUAACUACGUG
rnacentral:rRNA from 1 species